rnacentral:rRNA from 1 species
UACGUAGGGUGCGAGCGUUGUCCGGAAUUAUUGGGCGUAAAGAGCUCGUAGGCGGUCUGUCGCGUCGGUCGUGAAAACUUGGGGCUUAACCCUGAGCUUGCGGUCGAUACGGGCAUGACUGGAGUUCGGUAGGGGAGACUGGAAUUCCUGGUGUAGCGGUGAAAUGCGCAGAUAUCAGGAGGAACACCGGUGGCGAAGGCGACUCACUGGACACGUAUUGACGCUGAGGUGCGAAAGCGUGGGGAGCAAACAGG